UGGGGAAUAUUGCACAAUGGGCGCAAGCCUGAUGCAGCAACGCCGCGUGAACGAUGAAGGUCUUCGGAUCGUAAAGUUCUGUUGCAGGGGAAGAUAAUGACGGUACCCUGUGAGGAAGCCCCGGCUAACUACGUGCCAGCAGCCGCGGUAAUACGUAGGGGGCUAGCGUUAUCCGGAUUUACUGGGCGUAAAGGGUGCGUAGGUGGUCUUUCAAGUCGGUGGUUAAAGGCUACGGCUCAACCGUAGUUAGCCUCCGAAACUGGAAGACUUGAGUGCAGGAGAGGAAAGUGGAAUUCCCAGUGUAGCGGUGAAAUGCGUAGAUAUUGGGAGGAACACCAGUAGCGAAGGCGGCUUUCUGGACUGCAACUGACACUGAGGCGCGAAAGUGUGGGUAGCAAACAGG
rnacentral:rRNA from 1 species